GUGAGGAAGUAAUAAGUAGGGAUAUGGAGUUGCGCGGCGAUGGGUAGGGACUCGCUGCAGAAGAAGUCGAUGAUGAAGGCGGAGACUCGGGGGGAGAUGGACUGCAGGGCGCGGCGGACGUCGGGGUUGCUGCGGCGGAGGACCUCGAAGUAGACGGCCUCUAUUGAGGGGAAGGUGUCGAGGUCGAGGGACACAGCGGGGAGGUGGUGGAAGGUGAUGGAGGGGACGGUGGCGGAGAUGUGGCGGACGUAGUCCAUGGUGGAGCCGGUGUUGAAGGAGGGCGGCGCCACCAGGACGGUGACGGAGAGGGAGGGGUGGUGGUGGAGGAUGAAUUUGCCGAGCUCCACCAUGGACACCAGGUGGCCCAUUCCUGGAGAUGGGUAGAGGACUAUAGUUGGACUUGUCAUCUUCA
rnacentral:lncRNA from 1 species